GUAAAUCUGAUAUCGUCGCCAUAGCUUCGUAGGUCGACAAAGAAUUAAGAGCCUCGCCAUCGUGCGGGGCUUU
rnacentral:sRNA from 1 species